GCAAGGUAAACAUUGCGCAAUACUGCAUUGCGGAUGCCAUCGGCUUGCCGCCGUUGCCACAUUUGAAUUAUCCCAUACCCCGCGUCCAUACCCACAUCUUGCGUUGUCACCGCUGGUCAUCGCUUUGAGAACUUAAGCGGGCUGACCUGCCUGCGACAAAGUUGACAUCGCCUGAGUACAGCCAUCAAUCAACUCUCCAUGGCGCCAAGGUAUUGUGUUGUGAAGAGCUGCGGCAAGAAAGAAGGCGACAACGUUGUGUUUCACUACUUUCCUUCCGACGACGAUCAAAGGAAAGUCUGGACCGAGUUCGUGCAGGCCGUCCGAGGUACCAGUUGGACGCCGGGAAGGCGCAGUCAGGUAUGCUCCCUGCACUUCUCGUCGGACUGUUACCUAUACAACAUGCAGUACUGCGCCGACUUUGGUCUGCCGACGAGGCGAAACUACCUGAAGAAGGGUUCAGUGCCUACUUUGUACCCUGCUGGUGCAGUACUCAUCACUGCCCCGCCCACGUGUCCAGGAACGAAUGUGCGUAAUAUUGCGACUGGCACUGCUGUUGGGAUCAUACACACUGACUCCUGGAGCAGUGGAAGUUGCAUUCACAUGUGCGGUGCACCAAGCACAGAUCCACCACUGGGACCAACUCGCAAUUACACUAUAAUGGCAAGUGUAGCUGUUGCAACUCUUCCAAUGGGGAAAGUCAGUGCAGUCACUCAAUGCUCAUUGCCACUAACAGUGAAAUCAACACAGGCCAUGCUGAGUAAAAGGACGAGGAAUGUUGGAGUGCAAGCAGAAGUGAAAACAAGAACUCCAGGGUACACCAAAAGGCAACCUUGACACAACUGGCCAAGCAUAAAUGGAAUACCUGUCUUUUGGGCCUGCUGGCUUUCAAGCAUUGCAGGUUUCCAGACUGAUUAUGUACAUCUUGAUGUUGUGCUCUCUUCAAAGAUGUUUCCCGAAUGCUCAGCAGCACUGCCUACAGGACCAGUAAUUCUGGGCAAACUGAAUGGCUGGAACGUAUCACUCAGCCAUAAGAAACCAUUUGUGUUCAACAAAGACUUGGUGCAACUAUGACCUCAUUAUAUAGAGGUCCAGCUGUGCGGAGUCCUAUUUGCAUUCGCCGCGUAUGACAGGUUCGCAAAUGAGGUGCGAUUGUCAGAAUCAAGUGGCUACUGGAUGACAUCUAGCAGAUAUCACCACAGCUUACAAGUAUACGGUGUUGAUCCCUUGUCUUGCUCACUACCUACCUUCAAGAGCUGCACCUGAUCCCUCUGUGUAAUACUGUCAAGGCUAUAGGACCUCCUUUUGGCACAGUUGAACGACCUUUGAGUUGUUGUAAAGUGGGCUGUCUUGCAGACUGUUACCGUGGUCGGCAUCCCUUUCAAGUUGUUGUGGCUCGUAAGUAAUGUGUCUUGAGAUUAUAGUGCCGAUGGAAAGAUUGCAACCCACAAUGAUAGGCACAAGCGUAAGUUUAUUCCUUAGCCCUCUCAAUGUCAGUGAUGUAGCUGAACAUUCUCGCGUUUCUGUCCCGCCAUGUCAUUGACGUCAAAUAUAAAUGUGAGGACCAUACCAAAAUAGCAUUGGCCAUUAUCCAUAUCAUUUUCUCCCUUUCGCCUAACCAAAAAUAAACCGUUGUGUUCAUUUUAUAAUAUCCGACAAGAACACCCCAUGCUGGAGGUGCAUCAGCUCCGAAGAAACCUGACAUUGAAAAAGUUAAAUAAGGAAUUCAGUUUUUAAAUCAGCACUGAAACUCGCGCAGAAAUGACAGUGAGGGGGUAGGUGACACUCCGUGGUGAAGCAUGUCGGUAAGCCCUUGAAGACUGUGUCGAUUUCGGCACAAAUGUACAGGCCUCAAUUUGGUUUCAAAUGCUAUGUCUAUAUAAAGUCACAAAAAUAUUUAUUUCCUAAUAUUGCAAAUUGUCUCUAUCUGUGUAUUUGUAAUCUGCAAAUAGUAUUAUAGAGGAGUUGCGCUUCCUGUGUGCAAGAAAACGGAGCCAUUAAUUGACAGAGCACCAUCGUCUUGCGAGCUUCCUGCAAGUACAAAACCAGCUACUGUACUGCACCGCCUCUACCGCAACGGCGUGUAGGUGUCUGCACACCAACCGACAGCGAGUUUUUGGAUGACUUCACUGGCUGUGCAACAUGCACCGCUGCUCACCUCAGGCAACUCGGUCAACUCGGUGUCGACGGCACCCGCCUUUCUCGCAUUCGCAAGUGGCACAUCAAAAAGAACCACUGACAGUCACAAAACACAUGCGUAUGAGAUCACUCGACUUUCUCCACUGCAGAAUUUUAUUGAGUAAGGAAACAUGCGCUCAUGUUCGCAGUGUUAUAAGUGACAAGCUCUCUUGGCCGUCUUGCAGUGUGCGGCCGGACGCUGGCUUUGAAUUGAACAUGUCAUGUAUUAGCAGCUUGUGUUGAUGCUAAAUUGAUUGAGUGGUUUUCGCUUGUCACAAAAUAUCCGCUUUAGACUUCCCCUUAUUCCAGCUGCAAUUAUCUUUUACAAGAAACAAGUUAUGUUAUAACUGAGGUUUGUCUUGUCACAGGUGGUAAUGCACACCGGCAGUCCGACCAGUGAGGGACUGGCCGUGCCUCUGCACUGACAUCACACUUUCAUGGUUGUCCAUUUAUCCAUUGGUCAGACACAUAGGUAGUGACGGUUGCCUCUGAGAAGCCUCUGAGUAACAGGAACCGAUGUCAAGGCUGCCAUGUUUUAGUUUGGUGCUGGCAGGAAAUCUUGCAACAUAGAAAAUUGUCCAUGACAUCUCUAGAGUAAUAAAAAGUCGUUGCAGCUGUUUGUAGUCCGCAGUCUCAGCGUUUGAUACAAUAGCUAUUCCACUGCCUAAUCUGCAUAUGUUUCGAAUUGCUAAGUUUCUGUCGCCCUUGAUGCCCUCCAUCAAGAUGAUGCAGGAAAGAGGCAGGCACACCGAUGCAAACAGGUGUGCAUUUACAGGAGAGAGAGAGAGCAAGAAAAUGACAUCCAAGCAGCAGCCACCAUCCAUCUUCUCUCAAGACACCUUCAGUGUUCUCUUCCCCGCAACAAUAUUACAGCGUAAGCUGUUAUGGGCUCAUUCCAACAGCCAUUUCGGGUGGCGAUAGUAUCCGCCGCAGCUGCCGGUGUCCGGUGUUCGUAGCAGCUAUCACCGGGAAUCAGAAAAAAAAUGACCGGUUCCCACCGGGAUCGAACCCGGGCCCGCGGCGUGGGAAUCAGCUGCUCUACCACUGAGCCGCGCCAGUGCUUGCUAGCAUGCAGUGUAAAAAUGUCCUAUAAACACAUCCUACCACGCGAGGAGACACGCGAUGUGACAUGUGUGCCGCCUAGCAUCGAUACGUGCACAUUUUACAUUGCAGUUGCAUACUAUUACACCGUGUAGAACGCCAUGUAGCACAUGCACAGGUAGCGGUACAAAGCAGUUAAAGAAGGUUUGAGAAAGAAAAGGAAGAUUAUAGAGAUGCAUAAAUCUUAGGAAAUGGCAUUAAAUCAUCAUCAUUACCACCGUAUCAUGCCAUUUCACCUGCACGUCACGUAGCUUCAAUGCAUACAGACUUUGCAUUGGAGUUCUGUUAUAUUCCCUCAGAGAGGUAUUCUGUAGUAGUCCACCUAGUGGACUGGCCAUUUCGGCCGCUGCUGAUUGGCUGGGGCCGCUCGUCUCCUCCUCACUCAUACAGCCGCAUCCAAUCAGCAGCGGCUGAAAUGGACAGUCCACUAGGUGGACUCUUACAGAGUACCCCCCAGGUGUCCCGACAUAUAGCAGUUGCAGAUAGCAGUUGCAUGCUUCAUUUAGCUGGACCUGGUAAACUAAGGCAGGCUAUGUGACUAUUUGUUACCACUCCGUUUCGAAAGGGAUGCCAACAAACCAUUAUUAUCAUCAUCGACAGCAACAGCAACAUACCGUGCCAUGUGUCAAAGCAUGUGGCAUGUGCGCCACAUAAUCUGGGUACCUGUGUUUACUCUUUGGUACAUGCUAUCGUGCCUCCUGGCUAGGUACUAAACAUAGAGCUACAUGCGCAGCUGCAACCAAGCAGCGUCGGGCUCAGCAAACCGCUUUGCAGAGAGCAGCACAAGACACAGUUCACUGUCAACACCGGGCAGACUGUUCAGAUCGUUCUCAUGAAAAUGACACAAAGAGACUUCACCGCAGUGCAUGCUGCCAAAAAUGAAGCUUCUAUGGAGCCGCUCCUCUGGCUUAUGCUGCAACUGCGCUGCAUGCACUGCGCAAGCCUGUGACUUUCAUUUAUCAUUGUCGCCGUCUGUACGCAUUAAGUCGAACAAUCUUCAAAUAUCAAAAAAUUAUGUUUAAGAAAUUUUUAGACAUUUCCUGGAUGAACUGUUGCAGGUAUAGAUACUUCAGAUAGUAAGCUCUCUAUCACUCCAAGAAAAGGGGAAUGCUUGAAAAUCGGUUGUCGGUCCCUUUAAGGCUCAUAUCUCAGGUUUUGUAUUCAAUUGAAAAUUGGUUACUUCUGUGCCCACAAGUAGUGUUUUCCUAUAAGUAGGGAUGUGACGUAAUAAAGAUGUCAGUUGAGAGUA
rnacentral:lncRNA from 1 species